GAUAACUGGCCUGUGGCAGCCAAGCGUUCUUAGCGACGUUGCUUUUUGAUCCUUCGAUGUCGGCUCUUCCUAUCAUUGCGAAGCAGAAUUCGCCAAGCGUUGGAUUGUUCACCCACCAACAGGGAACGUGAGCUGGGUUUAGACCGUCGUGAGACAGAUU
rnacentral:ncRNA from 1 species